rnacentral:lncRNA from 1 species
AUUUGUGUGUGUGUGUGUGUGUGUGUGUGUCUGUGUGUGUGUUUUGAGACAGGGUCUUGCUGUGUUGCCUAGGCUGGUCUCAAAAGAAUUUGAGUUUUGUUUUGUUUUGUUUGAGACGGAGUCUCGCUCUGUCACCCAGGCUGGAGUGCAGUGGUAUGAUCUUGGCUCACUGCAAGCUCCGCCUCCUGGGUUCAAGUGAUUCUUCUGCCUCAGCCUCCCGAGUAGCUGGGACUACAGGCACUCACUACUGUGCCAGGCUAGUUUUUUUGUAUUUUCAGUAGAGAUGGGAUUUCACCAUGUUGGCCAGGCUGGUCUCAAGCCCCUGACCUCAGGUGAUUAGCCCACCUCUGCCUCCCAAAGUGCUGGGAUUACAGGCGUGAGCCACCGCGCCUGGCCUAAAGAAUAUUUUCUAUCCUGCAGUUGAUUGAAUCCUUGGAUGCAGAACCAGCAGGUACCACAGAGAUCAUGACAAUGACUCCAGAUAGACCCACACUGCUCCGGAAAUGGAAACUCCUAUUUCUCAACAAAAUCCACCUAAGCUCAAAGGUGAAAUCAACAAAGAGUUUUAAAGAUCAUUUUAGAUUAUUAUGAAGAAAGAUGCAAAUGAUAGCACAAGACUGAAAAAGAAAUUCAAAGCCCAGUAACGUAUGAGUAAUGAGGAAACUAAAAUCACAAAUUCAGAAAGAACCAAUUCACGUUCAAACAAGGAGAUCCCAUUUUCCACUUAUCAGAUUAGCAAAAAUGUUAAGAAUUGCUACUAUUCAGUGUUAGUGAGGGUGUGGGAAAACAGGCAUUCUCAAGCUCCCCACAUGUCAUAGAGGAGUGAAAAUCAGCCCAAACUUUUUGGAGAACAAUUAGUCAGUAAUAACAUGUCAAAUGUGGAUUCACUCUGAUUCAAAAAUUCUAUUUCUGGGAAUCCACCCUCUGAUGUUGUCACACAAGGCAUAUGCAAGGAUGUUCGCCAAGGUGUUGAUUAUCUAGUAAAAUGCUGGAAACAACUUAGCUAUCAAUUAGAGACUGGAUAAAUAACUUACAGUGUAUCCACACUGUGGAACCCUUAAGAGACUGAGGUAGAUUUAUAUACAGUGACAUGGAAGAUCUCUAAGACACAUUGACAAGUGAAAUUAACAAAUCAAAAUAUGACACAUUAGUAUAAUUAUAUAUAUAUGUAUAUAUAUUAUAUGUAUUUAAAGUCUCUCCCAAAUGCUAAGUCUAUAUCAUUCAUAGAAACAGGUAUGGAGUCUGGGUGCAGUGGCUCAUGCUUGUAAUUCCAACAUUUUGGGAGGCUGAGGUGGGAGGAUUGCUUGAGACCAGGAGUUCUAGACCAGGUAGGGCAAUAUAGCAAGACCCCAUCUCUCUAUUUCUAAAAAAAUAAAUCCAUGAAACAAUGUAAGAAGAAAAAACAGGUCUGGAAGGAGAUACACACACAAUGAAGAGUAGUUACCUCGAAGGGGAAAGGAGAAUUGGAAGGAGGUGAUAAAGGGGGAUUAUAAAUUUUACUCCAUAUAUUUCUGUGUUGGAUUUUUAAUUUUAUCUUAUUUAUUUAUUUUUCAUUUCUUUGAGACAAGAUCUGAGCUCUGUCACCCAGGCUGGAGUGUAGUGGCAUGAUCAUGGCUCACUGCAGCCUCAACCUCCUGGGCUCAAGUGAUCCUCCCACCUCAGCCCCCGAGUAGCUGGAAGUACAGGCGCACACCACUAUGCCUGGCUAUUUUUAUUUUUUGUAGAGAUGAAGUCUCACUAUGUUGCCCAGGCUGGUCUCGAACUCCUAGGCUCAAGGGAUCCACCUGCCUCAGCCUCCCAAAGUGUUGGGAUUACAGGCGUGAGCCGCUGUGCCCAGUCUAUCUUUGUUUUUAAACAAUGAAUGUGCAUUCAUGCAUUACUUAGCGGCACUAUGCACGGUCAUGGUGUUCCGUGUCGACCCUAGCUUCAUUAGUUACUAGGUGUGUAAGAAGUAAAGAAAAAAAAUAAAUAAACCUCAAUGUGCCUUACUCUUUUUCUACAAAAAUAGAGCUAAUAUAGGCUUGUUGUGAAGAUUAAGUAAAUUGAUAGAAGCAAAAUGCUUGAAAUAAGUGUUUCAAUUAUUAUGACUUGUGUAAUUAAACAUAAGCUGUCACAAAUAGGCUGUGUCGGCUUGGAUGAAGAAUCCCACACUGGUAAGGCCAAUGCUUACAUGAGCACGAGCCUGAGAAGAGAGGGAAA